AAAAAAAUCACAAAUUUGACAAAUUAGCAGGUGAGCUGCCUUCAGCAGAACAACAAGGUCGUUUUUUUUUUUGUUUUUUUUUUAAAAAUAUUAUUUUAUAUUUAGCAAUGAGCUUGGCUUCUGUAAAUCUUGCUUUCUCAAACUGUGACAUUUCAAAUAGACCUGCAUGGUAGAGAAUGGACAUUUCCAACACAGCCCCUUCUCUUUACAGGGCUCUGGAGGCUGGGACUCUACGCAGGAGAACUGUGUUUGGAAAAGAAGUCCUGCUUAAAUAUUUCUUUUACCCAGCACUCAGCAGCAAGCAUUCCAGCCUCACUGAGUAUUGACAUCACAGAAACGAAGGAGUUAAGGCCUGUGGGUUUGCAUUCUGUCAUCAUUGAAGUGAGUCCUGGCCUGAAGGAUUUGGAAGAUUAACCAAAUGAGCCCUGUCUGUGGCUGCAUCCCUGAUUCUGUCCAGAUGGAGAAUCCAUGUGACAAUCUAUAUUCUCUUGUCACAGUAGCAUUCAUUCCAGAGCUUAGAGAACAUCCAUGAAGUAAACAGAUGAGGGUGUAGUCCUUAUGAUCUUACAAUCUAGUCAUGGAGCAAAUAAGCAAAGGGAAAUGUCAUCCAAAAAUAUUGGUGAUACUGCUGAGAUGUCUAAGUCCAGGAGAACUGCUGUAGCUGAGCUGAAGUAUCUAUAUCAACAGCUUGCAGGGGCCUUCCUACUCACUCCAACAAGCACCACUCGCACUAAAGUGGGUUGGAGCUCCAGACUAUGUUCCUCAAAGAGGCUUGUAAAUUAUCAUAAUUCUAAGUCCAGACCUGCAGAGAUUACCUGAGGUUAAGCCCACCAUAGAGAGCUCUUCUAUUGAUAGUUUUUCGCCAGUAUUUCAAGUGACCUACUUGGCCUUUCUUUGCUCCAUCCUACUUUUUCCAUCAGAGAUUCUUUAAGCAAUUCUACUUGUUCUGGUGGGGUGUUUCAGCACAUAGCUAGCUGGCAGGCUGACUUGGCAGGUCUGCUACCCGGGGAUAAGAAGUUGCUCAUAGGUUCCAAAAUGGAGUUCCAGAUUCCUUUUUGUAGUGUUCUACUUGAUGAAAUCUCCUGGGAACAUCUUGAUUUUAGCAAGUUCUCUUUAAAUCUCCAUUCCUCUUUUAAGGUAGUUUUGCUUCUAUUUAAAAAUCAGACAGAGUAACCUUUUUUCCUUACUUUCUCACUCCUUCCCCUCCUCAACUCCUUCCUCCUUUUUUCUUCUUUCUUCCCCCCACCCCUCCCGCCCACAUUGAUUUCUUUAUUACUCUGUUUAGUUCAGUCUUUGCAGUUUUUCCUAUGAACCCAGAAGUCAAGCUGGCCUCCUAUGAAUUAUUUUCUGAGUAAUAUAUAGAUAACUACAGAGAAUAGAAUAUCCUCUUUUUUCCCUGUAUACCCAUUGAGAAUUAAGAAUACAACUGUCAAUCUUAGCAGGACUCAGUAAGUGCUGUAUUCAGAAACAGUAAGUGGAAAUAUGAUCAGCAUGCACUUUCAUGUUUCAGUAAAAUGGAAUAUGUGGAACUGACAAGACUGAUAACUUAUAAAAGGCAAUCUUCUACCCAAAACAUUCUUAUGAUGUUCUCUGGCUUCAGAGAUUACCUUUCCUGGACAGAAGAAUGUACAGCAUGCUGGAUUAAAUUUGGAAGGUCCCAAUAGACUAUUAGGGUUUACCAAACCCUGGGCCAACUUUAAUAUGUGUUUAAUUAGUUCUCUGUGGUAGAUAUAAACAAUAAAAAUAUCAAGUUUUGUGUAU